GCUGGGGAAAUAGCUCAGUUGAUACAGUACUUGCCUAGCAUGCACAAGUUCCUGGGUUCAAUUCCCAGCACCAGCA
rnacentral:tRNA from 1 species